rnacentral:rRNA from 1 species
AGUGAGCGCUGGCGGUAGGCCUAACACAUGCAAGUCGAACGGCAGCACAGUAAGAGCUUGCUCUUACGGGUGGCGAGUGGCGGACGGGUGAGGAAUACAUCGGAAUCUACUUUUUCGUGGGGGAUAACGUAGGGAAACUUACGCUAAUACCGCAUACGACCUACGGGUGAAAGCAGUGGAUCUUCUGACCUUGCGCGAUUGAAUGAGCCGAUGUCGGAUUAGCUAGUUGGCGGGGUAAAGGCCCACCAAGGCGACGAUCCGUAGCUGGUCUGAGAGGAUGAUCAGUCACACUGGAACUGAGACACGGUCCAGACUCCUACGGGAGGCAGCAGUGGGGAAUAUUGGACAAUGGGCGCAAGCAUGAUCCAGCCAUACCGCGUGGGUGAAGAAGGCCUUCGGGUUGUAAAGCCCUUUUGUUGGGAAAGAAAAGCAGCAGGUUAAUACCCCGCUGUUCUGACGGUACCCAAAGAAUAAGCACCGGCUAACUUCGUG